rnacentral:pre_miRNA from 1 species
UCUUCAUUUCGCACACUCUCUCGCCUCUCUGACCGGUGAGAGAGUGCGUGAAAUGAAGAGA